rnacentral:rRNA from 1 species
AUUGAACGCUGGCGGCAUGCUUUACACAUGCAAGUCGAACGGUAACAGGCCGCAAGGUGCUGACGAGUGGCGAACGGGUGAGUAAUGCAUCGGAACGUGCCCAGUCGCGGGGGAUAACUACUCGAAAGAGUAGCUAAUACCGCAUACGAUCUAUGGAUGAAAGCGGGGGACCGUAAGGCCUCGCGCGAUUGGAGCGGCCGAUGUCAGAUUAGGUAGUUGGUGGGGUAAAGGCUCACCAAGCCAACGAUCUGUAGCUGGUCUGAGAGGACGACCAGCCACACUGGGACUGAGACACGGCCCAGACUCCUACGGGAGGCAGCAGUGGGGAAUUUUGGACAAUGGGCGCAAGCCUGAUCCAGCAAUGCCGCGUGCAGGAAGAAGGCCUUCGGAUUGUAAACUGCUUUUGUACGGAACGAAACGGCUCUGGUUAAUACCCGGGGCUAAUGACGGUACCGUAAGAAUAAGCACCGGCUAACUACGUG